AUUGAACGCUGGCGGCAGGCCUAACACAUGCAAGUCGAGCGGGGUUUUCGGACCUAGCGGCGGACGGGUGAGUAAUGCGUAGGAAGCUACCCGAUAGAGGGGGAUACCAGUUGGAAACGACUGUUAAUACCGCAUAAUGUCUACGGACCAAAGUGUGGGACCUUCGGGCCACAUGCUAUCGGAUGCGCCUACGUGGGAUUAGCUAGUUGGUGGGGUAAUGGCUCACCAAGGCGACGAUCCCUAGCUGGUUUGAGAGGAUGAUCAGCCACACUGGAACUGAGACACGGUCCAGACUCCUACGGGAGGCAGCAGUGGGGAGUAUUGGACAAUGGGCGCAAGCCUGAUCCAGCCAUGCCGCGUGUGUGAAGAAGGCCUUCGGGUUGUAAAGCACUUUCAGUAGGGAGGAAGAGUUGAGUGUUAAUAGUACUCAGCUUUGACGUUACCUACAGAAGAAGCACCGGCUAACUCUGUGCCAGCAGCCGCAGUAAGAC
rnacentral:rRNA from 1 species